AUCGCUUCUCGGCCUUAUGGCUAAGAUCAAGUGUAGUAUCUGUUCUUAUCAGUUUAAUAUCUGAUACGUYCCCUACCCGGGGACCAUAUAUUAAAUUGAUUUUUGGMWCARGGAGAUGGAAYAGGRGCUUGCUCCGUCCACUCCAYGCAUCGACCCGGUAUUGCAGUACCGCCGGGAA
rnacentral:snRNA from 1 species